UACGGGGGGAGCAAGCGUUGUUCGGAUUUACUGGGCGUAAAGGGCGCGUAGGCGGUCGUGACAAGUCACUUGUGAAAUCUCCGGGCUUAACUCGGAACGGUCAAGUGAUACUGUCGGACUAGAGUACAGAAGGGGCAACUGGAAUUCUCGGUGUAGCGGUGAAAUGCGUAGAUAUCGAGAGGAACACCUGCGGCGAAGGCGGGUUGCUGGGCUGAUACUGACGCUGAGACGCGAAAGCGUGGGGAGCAAACAGG
rnacentral:rRNA from 1 species